rnacentral:rRNA from 1 species
UGGGGAAUUUUGGACAAUGGGCGCAAGCCUGAUCCAGCCAUGCCGCGUGCGGGAAGAAGGCCUUCGGGUUGUAAACCGCUUUUGUCAGGGAAGAAAUCUUCUGAGUUAAUACCUCGGGAGGAUGACGGUACCUGAAGAAUAAGCACCGGCUAACUACGUGCCAGCAGCCGCGGUAAUACGUAGGGUGCAAGCGUUAAUCGGAAUUACUGGGCGUAAAGCGUGCGCAGGCGGUUUUGUAAGACAGAGGUGAAAUCCCCGGGCUCAACCUGGGAACUGCCUUUGUGACUGCAAGGCUUGAGUGCGGCAGAGGGGGAUGGAAUUCCGCGUGUAGCAGUGAAAUGCGUAGAUAUGCGGAGGAACACCGAUGGCGAAGGCAAUCCCUGGGCCUGCACUGACGCUCAUGCACGAAAAGCGUGGGGAGCAAAACAGGAUUAGAUACCCUGGUAGUCCACGCCCUAAAACGAUGUCAACUGGUUGUUGGGAAAGGUUCCUUCUCAGUAACGUAGCUAACGCGUGAAAGUUGACCGCCUGGGGAGUACGG